GACGAACGCUGGCGGCGUGCCUAAUACAUGCAAGUCGAGCGAAUCACUGGGAGCUUGCUCCCGGUGGUUAGCGGCGGACGGGUGAGUAACACGUGGGCAACCUGCCUGUAAGACUGGGAUAACACCGGGAAACCGGUGCUAAUACCGGAUAAUCCUUUCCUGCACAUGCAGGAAAGCUGAAAGUCGGUUUCGGCUGACACUUACAGAUGGGCCCGCGGCGCAUUAGCUAGUUGGUGAGGUAACGGCUCACCAAGGCGACGAUGCGUAGCCGACCUGAGAGGGUGAUCGGCCACACUGGGACUGAGACACGGCCCAGACUCCUACGGGGGGCAGCAGUAGGGAAUCUUCCACAAUGGACGAAAGUCUGAUGGAGCAACGCCGCGUGAGCGAUGAAGGCCUUCGGGUCGUAAAGCUCUGUUGUUAGGGAAGAACAAGUACCGGAGUAACUGCCGGUACCUUGACGGUACCUAACCAGAAAGCCACGGCUAACUACGUGCCAGCAGCCGCCGUAA
rnacentral:rRNA from 1 species